CGUGCUCUCCUCUCCAAGUCAGUCCUGCAAAGUGUAGGAAGCAAGUUAACCAGUUGGCAGAGCAGUUUGCUGGGAAUAAUGGAGAACAUCUCUGGUCAUCAGUAAAUUGUCAAGCCAUCAUGAUUUCAAGGGUGUCCAGAGAGCAAAGGAAGCAGUGGUGCUUGGACAGGAGAAACAGCCUUGUCCUCAAAGAUUUUUAAGCAUUGAAUUGGGAAAGCAGUGAAACUCUGGAAGAUGUGCUACAGUGUGUUCAGGUGCUCGGGUGCGUGGUGCAGACCAGGUGCUCGGGUGCGUGGUGCACGCCAGGUGCUCCUUGAGAGUCUGCAGGCAGGCGAGUCCAAAAGCGAUGCCAUCACCGUCCUCCCCAUCCCCUUGCCUGCUCCUUGGUGUCCCUUGUGGAUAAACACCAGGGAUCUGUAUGGAAACAUUCUUUUCUUUAAAAUAAUAUGCAGAUUACAAUUCCCACAUUCUGAGAAGGGAUCAAACCAAAUAAAAACAUGCCCCUGCUUUCCUAUCACUUAAUUGGUAGCACAUAAGAAUGGGUCUUUAAAUAUCUUCCUUUUGAGGACAUCGUCCCCCUAACGUCCUCUGAAAGGGCACGGCCACCACCUGGUCGGCUCCUGUGUUGGAGAACACUGCAGACCAAUCGCGCCAUUGCAGCUCUGAGAGCCAGAAAGUUCACUGCUAGAAUCAGGCAGCGGUUUCGCUGAUUCCGAUGACACCUGAAGAUUUGGGGUGAUUUAGGAUGACACAGCAUCUGUCUCUGUGUCCCCACAUAAUGUCCUUGCCUGUCACAUGCUGAGCUGCUGAAGAAGCAGUAGAGAACAACAUGGGGAGCCCGUUAAAACUGGACUAGAGACGAAAGGUCGGCCACUGUAUGUGCUGAAAUUGCUGAAGUUAUCCAGAACGUAUUUCACUGUGUCCCAAUGUGUUCCUGAACCAUGCGCGUCCAGCACCAGAGGAAGAGGUGCGGGGCGGUGGUCGGGAGUGGUCGCCUGUGGCUCGUGAGCCCAGCUCCUCGCUCAUCGUAAGUUCGUGCCCUCAAGGCUCUGUUUACCUCCUGUUGGGUCCUGCUUGCCCAGGGGGUCCCUCCCGCUGCUGCUCGAGUCGUAGCCCCCAGGCCCCACGCAUAGUGGGGGCUUCGCAAUCAUGGCAAAAAUGGAAUUUCUUCCCAUUCUUUUAAAAAAUAAAAGCACUCUUUUAAUAACA